UCUCCGUAGGUGAACCUGCGGAGGGAUCAUUCCUGAUUCGUGCAUUAUGGCAAUUUCCUGAAUACAUACCCACUUUGUGUGCAACGGCAGGGUUGGUCUCGUUUGAUCAGCGCCACAGAACAACUAUUAUCCCGACUCUUUGUCUGAAAAAUAUUAUGAAGUAACCAAUUCAAAAUAAAACUUUCAACAACGGAUAACCUGGCUCUCACAUCGCUGUAGAACGCAGCAGCUCGGAAGAACACACGACUGAAGUACAGCCACGCAUAGAAAUCUCGUCAC
rnacentral:misc_RNA from 1 species